UUCAGCACUAUCCUCUCAUCUUCUGGUAUGAAAUGAGUAGAGGCUGGAGUCCAAGCCUGGAAGCUAUGUGAUAUGGACUAUGACUGGAGCUUCUCUUCACUGCAAUAUAGAACAGCAUCAAAGGCAAAUAAGACCAAUAGAAUCACAUUGCUAAUACUGCCCUCGUUUCGUUGUGUGCACACCAUCAAACAGGCAGAUGAAGAGGAUCCUUGUCUUGGUAAGGGAAGAAGUCACCACACAUCCCAGCUGGAGGAGGGAACAUGACUUUGGCUCACUUCAGCACCCUCACCAUUGUUCCAGAUAUCCAAGGCCCUCCUUGGACCUCAACAAGACUUAAGCCGCUGCAGAGACGGUGUAAAUGUGGAAUGGCUGGUUGGGGACAGAGUGAAACUCCUGGAAUCAGAUGGUGAUCUGCUGAUAAGCUGGGUCUGUGCCAGCCAGCAGAGUCCAUGCGUGCAAGAGCCUGGAGUCUCCCCCUGUGAAGGCUUGGGGCUGGUUGGGCAGUAAGCCUCACAGUAAUCCUUAGUCCUGUUAGAUAGGAGUUCUAAAUUUAUUUUCAAAGAAUUAAUAUGUCAGUAUUCAAUUAUUUGCCUUCUACUUUUAAACUUAACUUCCUCAUAAAGCAACCUUUUUCCAUUACCUACCCCACCCUAACUCAUUCUGAUCACCUGCUCCACCCUAACUCAUUCUGACCACCUGCUCCACCCUAACUCAUUCUGACCACCUGCUCCUCCCUAACUCAUUAGGAUUACCUGCUACCUGCUCUGCCCUGACUCCCGCCAAAGCUCUCAUCCCAUCAUUCUCUUUCAAUUAGGCAAUCGGAAUUAGUUUAGCCUGUGUGGUCUAACCCUAGCUAACAGGAGAACGACACAGCGGCUGCAGCCAAGUUCGUCAGGGAUAAGAACCCCUUCCCCUCCCUUGUCCACCUGUGCGCUCACCACUGUUCCAUCUGUAAGGGCGCACCGUUCUAUAUAGAAGUAACUUGCCUUGCUGAGAAUUAAAAAG
rnacentral:lncRNA from 1 species